GGGGUUGUGGCUCAGCGGUAGAGCACUCGCCUAGCAUGUGGGAGAUCCUGGGUUCGAUCCUCAGCACCACA
rnacentral:tRNA from 1 species